rnacentral:lncRNA from 1 species
UAGUUAUUUGUCACAAACUUUUAUUAUUAUUACUAUUAUUAUUAUUAAUCUUUUGCUUUGGCGCUCCAAGUGAAAAUGGAUUCGUGUGUUUCUAGAGAGACGAUUGGGGUGGUCUCAAGCUUUGCAAAGAGGAACAGAUUGUCUAAACACUUGCAGGAUAGAGUUUGAGGUAUGGAACUGAUUCAGAAGGACUGCAGCAAGAAACUUGAUGCUCUUUGAAGGCAAUUCAUUCAAUCAUUUUGCAUUUUUGCUCCCUUUUUGAUAAGGUGUCUUUAUUUAAAGGGGUGUUAAAUGAUAUGUUCUUUCUGCUGGUAUUGAUUAGGAUUGAUGGCCUCAGUUUAUUUUGACUUUCUUUGAGCUAGAUUUCCAUGUUUUCAUGUAGCAAAUUAAGUGUCUCUGUUAGUUAUAAACUUGUUACACAAUGCAGGGGACUGGAAAUGCAAACUUUUAACUUGCGACUGCAAUCGGAUAUGCUUGUUUCCAGGUUAUUUCUUUUCUAUUUUGUUCCUUGGUAAUGAACAUACAUCAAUUUUUGAACAUGGGAUAAAUCUUCAUGUGUUUUUUUAUCUUGAUCCAUGCAAAAAUGCAGUGAUUACCGCAGCAUGUUAAGAGUUUAUAUUUAUUAAACACAAACAUAUAGGAAUCAUAUGACUUGUUGGUUAAGUUUAUUCAAUUAGCCAAUUAUUGCACAUUGGUGCCACACCUCUUUCAGUGUUGAUGCAGCAUUAGAGAGGCUUGCUGAAUAUAAAGGAAAUACUACGUUGGUAUUAAAUCUACUUAUGAUUUUGCAAUAUCGAAUUUCCACAAACUCCAUCUCCAUAGAAUCAUGAAAAAUGAACCAGUGGAUUUUCUACAUUCGUAUCUCCCUCAUAUAGUUAUUUGUUUCUGCAUUUUGCAGAUCAGGCUGUUGAAUUUAGUGAGUGGGCUUUUGGCAACAAGUGAUCUUGGCGA